ensembl:lncRNA
GGGAGCCUUUAUUUUCACUGUGAAAAUAAAGUGAAAGUGUUAGUCACUCAGCUGUGUUCAAGUCUUUGUGACCCCAUCAACGUAGCCUGCCAGGCUCCUCUCUCUGUGGAAUUCUCCAGACACAGACCUUUUUGCAACUCUGUUUUCCCACUGGAGGAGGAGAGCAAGAUGAUAAUACCUCGCACUCAAGAGAAUACAGGAAAGUGCUCGGGAAUUCCCAGAUCACAGCUGCCAAGCCCAUGGUAUGGAAACCAUCACCAAGAUUUCUCAGGCAUGAGCCAGACAAUGGUCCAUGGCGUUCCCCAAAUUGCAGGCAUCACACCUCAAGCUCUCAGUUCCUCUCAUCAGACUCAAGGCGAGAGAAGAGCCCUCUUCACCUUCCCGCUAGCAGCUGCACAGGAGGGCCGCUUGGGACACUUAACAACUCCUUCCACAGAAACCCUUCUUCAGCAGCUGCCACCUCAACCCUUGUAUACCUUCAAGUUCCCAAUGAUGAUUCAAAUGUGCAGACAAUGUUGAAAGGGACCACUAACUGUUUGGAUGGAUUCAGAAGUUUUCAAAGAAGGGACUGGAAUCAAGUGUAACUAGAGGGUUCCUU